rnacentral:rRNA from 1 species
CCUACGGGGGGCUGCAGUGAGGAAUAUUGGUCAAUGAGGGCAACCUUGAACCAGCCAAGUCGCGUGAAGGAUGACUGUCCUAAGGAUUGUAAACUUCUUUUAUAUGGGAAUAAUUGUAGCCACGUGUGGUUAUUUGCAUGUACCAUAUGAAUAAGGAUCGGCUAACUCCGUGCCAGCAGCCGCGGUAAUACGGAGGAUCCAAGCGUUAUCCGGAUUUAUUGGGUUUAAAGGGUGCGCAGGCGGGAGAUUAAGUCGGUGGUGAAAUUUUGCGGCUCAACCGUAAGAGUGCCAUCGAAACUGGUUUUCUUGAGUGUAGAUGAAGUAGGCGGAAUUUGUGGUGUAGCGGUGAAAUGCAUAGAUAUCACGAGGAACUCCGAUUGCGCAGGCAGCUUACUAAACUACUACUGACGCUCAUGCACGAAGGCGUGGGGAUCAAACAGGAUUAGAUACCCCUGUAGUC